UACGUAGGGGGCAAGCGUUGUCCGGAAUCAUUGGGCGUAAAGAGCGCGUAGGCGGCCCGAUAAGUCCGCUGUGAAAGUCAAGGGCUCAACCCUUGAAUGCCGGUGGAUACUGUCGGGCUAGAGUCCGGAAGAGGCGAGUGGAAUUCCUGGUGUAGCGGUGAAAUGCGCAGAUAUCAGGAGGAACACCGAUGGCGAAGGCAGGUCUCUGGGCAUUAACUGACGCUGAGGAGCGAAAGCAUGGGGAGCGAACAGG
rnacentral:rRNA from 1 species